rnacentral:lncRNA from 1 species
AUGUGUGCCCAUUAUACACAACAUGGGAUUUAAAUAUAUAUCUUCAAAGGCUUGCAAGUUUUAAUGAUGGUUAUAUUUUGGUUUUAUGAAAUUGUUAGUUAUACAUAUGAUUUAUUUGAAGCUAAAGUUUUGAAGUACUAGGACCCCUGAUUCUAAUUUGUUUCUAUACCCUUGGCUUUAUGAUGCAAUCCACUUUUUGACACAGGUCCCAAGAAUGUGUUCUAGGAAAAACAGGAGCCUUGUUUUCUUUAUUGAUAAAUUCUAUUUAUUGAUAAACAUUAAUAAAAUACAUAUGUUUAUAUUUGUGCAUUCUUUACAUGUUAUAGAAAUUAUAUAUGGAGGGAAAUCUAAUGUCUUAAAACUAUUAGGAGAAUUUUGACUAUACAAUAAAAUGCCAAAGU